rnacentral:rRNA from 1 species
AUUGAACGCUGGCGGCAUGCCUUACACAUGCAAGUCGAACGGUAACGCGGGGCAACCUGGCGACGAGUGGCGAACGGGUGAGUAAUGCAUCGGAACGUGCCCAGUAGUGGGGGAUAGCCCGGCGAAAGCCGGAUUAAUACCGCAUACGACCUACGGGUGAAAGCGGGGGACCGUAAGGCCUCGCGCUGUUGGAGCGGCCGAUGUCAGAUUAGGUAGUUGGUGGGGUAAAGGCCUACCAAGCCUUCGAUCUGUAGCUGGUCUGAGAGGACGACCAGCCACACUGGGACUGAGACACGGCCCAGACUCCUACGGGAGGCAGCAGUGGGGAAUUUUGGACAAUGGGCGCAAGCCUGAUCCAGCCAUGCCGCGUGCGGGAAGAAGGCCUUCGGGUUGUAAACCGCUUUUGUCAGGGAAGAAACGCUCCGGGCUAAUACCCUGGGGUAAUGACGGUACCUGAAGAAUAAGCACCGGCUAACUACGUG